UGAACGCUGGCGGCGUGCCUAAUACAUGCAAGUCGAGCGAACAGACGAGGAGCUUGCUCCUCUGACGUUAGCGGCGGACGGGUGAGUAACACGUGGAUAACCUACCUAUAAGACUGGGAUAACUUCGGGAAACCGGAGCUAAUACCGGAUAAUAUAUUGAACCGCAUGGUUCAAUAGUGAAAGACGGUUUUGCUGUCACUUAUAGAUGGAUCCGCGCCGCAUUAGCUAGUUGGUAAGGUAACGGCUUACCAAGGCAACGAUGCGUAGCCGACCUGAGAGGGUGAUCGGCCACACUGGAACUGAGACACGGUCCAGACUCCUACGGGAGGCAGCAGUAGGGAAUCUUCCGCAAUGGGCGAAAGCUUGACGGAGCAACGCCGCGUGAGUGAUGAAGGUCUUCGGAUCGUAAAACUCUGUUAUUAGGGAAGAACAAAUGUGUAAGUAACUAUGCACGUAUUGACGGUACCUAAUCAGAAAGCCACGGCUAACUACGUG
rnacentral:rRNA from 1 species